rnacentral:rRNA from 1 species
UCGAGAAUCUUCGGCAAUGGGCGAAAGCCUGACCGAGCGACGCCGCGUGCGGGAUGAAGGCCCUCGGGUUGUAAACCGCUGUCGUUGGGGAGGAAAUGCAAAAGGGUUAUCCCUUCUGUUUGACCGAUCCAAGGAGGAAGUACGGGCUAAGUUCGUGCCAGCAGCCGCGGUAAGACGAACCGUACGAACGUUAUUCGGAAUUACUGGGCUUAAAGGGUGCGUAGGCUGCACGGAAAGUUGGGUGUGAAAGCCCUCAGCUCAACUGAGGAAUUGCAUCCAAAACUGCCGUGCUUAAGGGAGACAGAGGUGAGCGGAACUCAAGGUGGAGCGGUGAAAUGCGUUGAUAUCUU